rnacentral:tRNA from 1 species
GCCUGGGUGGCUCAGUGGUUGAGCGUCUGCCUUUGACUCAGGUCAUGAUCCCGGGGUCCUGGGAUUGAGUCCCACAUCAGGCU